GCCUCAACUCAGAGAAGGCGACCCGCUGAACUUAAGCAUAUCAAUAAGCGGAGGAAAAGAAACCAACAGGGAUUGCCUCAGUAACGGCGAGUGAAGCGGCAAGAGCUCAAAUUUGAAAUCUGGCUCCUUCGGGGUCCGAGUUGUAAUUUGUAGAGGAUGCUUCGGGUGCGGCCCCCGUCUAAGUGCUCUGGAACGGGCCAUCGGAGAGGGUGAAAAUCCCGUCUGGGACGGGGUGUCCGCGUCCAUGUGAAGCUCCUUCGACGAGUCGAGUUGUUUGGGAAUGCAGCUCUAAAUGGGUGGUAAAUUUCAUCUAAAGCUAAAUACUGGCCGGAGACCGAUAGCGCACAAGUAGAGUGAUCGAAAGAUGAAAAGCACUUUGAAAAGAGAGUUAAACAGCACGUGAAAUUGUUGAAAGGGAAGCGCUUGCGACCAGACUC
rnacentral:rRNA from 1 species